UCCAAUGAAUACACCUGCAAAAUUCUUAAAUAUCAAGAACCCAUUUUGACAAUAAUGAAUGGGUGAUCUCAUUUCUUUCACUUGGUGCUUUGAAGUUUGAUGUUAACAUAUCAAACUAUGGUUCAAGAGUAACUUAUAACAUAGUAGAUGUGCCAACCAACUGCAUAAGAUAUAAGGAACAUAUGACUAAAAAUUGAGCGGGGCACAUAUGAAUGGGAACCAAUUUAGUAAUGGAUUCAGCCACUGAAUCAGGAUCUUUCAUCUAAUCUAGAAGCUGAUGACUCUCUUCGCAUGUGAGGUUGCAUAGAAUCAUUUCUAUAUACGAUUUCAGUUGAGAGUUGAUUGCCAAGAAAAUGUGAUAGUGAAGUGAGUGCACGAGAAAGAGAGAGAGAGAGAGAG
rnacentral:misc_RNA from 1 species